AGAUUUCCCUAUUUCAACAGAGUACAACCAAGUGCCUGAAUUGAGUGAUUCCUCCUAGUAUUAAGAUUUUAUCAUUUUAAUUAUAUUUUUUUUAUCUAGCAGUUUCUUAACGACUUUGAUUGUUGGAAGAUCAAAAUGCUCUUUUAUUUUGGUACUUCGUAACUCAGGAAGACCUCAUUUAUUCCCAGUAAUAUGUUUUACUAAACUCUUUCAGUUAUCAGAGACUAUUACAGACGAUUGCUGUACUCGAGGCUCAGCGUUCUCAAGCAGUCCAAGACCUUGAAAGUUUAGGCAGGCACCAGAGAGAAGCACUGAAAAAUCCCAUUGGAUUUGUGGAAAAACUCCAGAAGAAGGCUGAUAUUGGGCUUCCAUAUCCACAGAGAGUUGUUCAAUUGCCUGAGAUCGUAUGGGACCAAUAUACCCAUAGCCUUGGGAAUUUUGAAAGAGAAUUUAAAAAUCGUAAAAGACAUACUAGAAGAGUUAAGCUAGUUUUUGAUAAAGGUUUACCUGCUAGACCAAAAAGUCCUUUAGAUCCUAAGAAGGAUGGAGAGUCCCUUUCAUAUUCUAUGUUG
rnacentral:lncRNA from 1 species